GGGAACCCGGAGGCCUGGAUCCGGGCCGAGAGUGGAACGGAGUCGGCGCCGCCGCCUCGGCUGAGCCUUCUGCCGCCCACCGGGCGGCCGGGCUUCUCCGCGCCUUCGCCCCUCGCUCCCAGCUCACUCGCUCCUGCGGCGCCCGCUGCGGCUUCUCCUCCUCCUUCGCCUCCUCCUCUUCCUCCAGUUUCUUCUUCUCCUCCUCCUCCUCUUCUUCCUCCUCCUCCUCUUCUUCCUCCUCCUCUUUCCCCACCUACUCCCCCUCAGCCACCGCCUCCUCCUCCACCAGCACCACUCCCUCCGGGGCACCCCGGUCCCUGCAGAGUCCCUGGCCGGCGCCGCCUCCGCUGCGGCCCCCUGAAUCCCGAGCCUGCCUCGCCCAAGCUGGUAGGACAGAAGGACAGACAGAUUCCUCUAGCCUAGCGCUCCGCCGCUGCUGCCUUACGCGGCCCCGCGUCGGGAGAACUGGGAUCGCCCCAAGAGCACCGCGAGGGGUCAUCUCAGGCUGGCUGCAUGCCUCAGCUGAAGAUCCCAGCUCCUGUCAAUGCCACCUCUCUGCUUGACUGUCUCCUUCCAGAUUCGAGCAGGUAUGAGCUGGGAAGAAUGAAGGCAGGGCAUGCCCGUGUGCCAGCUCUGCACAGCUGGAUAGCUGAGGAAAGAUGUGGAGGAGAAGCCGGGGAUUGUGUGGAAGUCUAAGGGUGUUGUUUGCCCUUUGGGUUCCAGAAGAUGCAUGCCAGGACCCUGGGUGGCACUGCCAGGAAGCAACAGAGAGGAGAUAAAACUCACAGCAGACAGACUUGCCUUAACAACAACUCCCUUGAAUUAAAACACGCUUUUCAAGAAAACAAAUUAUCAGUUCGAUCAGCAAACAGCAGAGAAGUUUCUCUCAUAAUGGCAAAGAAGGGCCGGGUUGCUGACCAGUGAAAGAGCUUCAGAAAAGGAGAGGGGAGAUGAGAUGGCCAGAAGGAGCAAGAGCACCGUACAUCCCUGGACAACCUCAUUCUAAUGGGUCAGGGGCUGGGACGUGCAUUUUGGAGUGCAGGAGAAGUGGCAACUCACAAAUGCUAGAUUUUCUUCUAGAGAUGACCAAGCUGUAGUUCUUAAAGCAGUGGCACUAGGGCAGAAAACUCUCACACUUUGAUGUGCACACACAGCCCCUGGGGAUCUUGUUGACAUGUAGAUUCUGAUUCCGUAAGUCGGGCUGAGAUUCUGCAUUUCCAACAAGCUCCUAGAUGAGGUCCAUUUUGCUGGUCCAUGAAACACACUUAGAAUAAGUAGCAAGGUAUAGGAGGAUACUGACUUUGCUCAGUGAUGCUUGGGCUUCCGUCCAAACUAAAAUAAAACAAAAGCAGACAUAAAUGGCCCAAUUCAACAGCCUGAGAAGUUUGGUGAUAAUGACCCAAGCCCUGGCCUGGUGACCAAGUGGCUGCUCAGAGAGCUCUAUCUCCAAACUCCUUCCCUUCCUGCCUCCCCUCCAAGAGUGAGUAAUGUGCCAGAGUUCAUUGGGGUCUGCUGUCCCCAGGGAAAGGUGGCCCAGUUGCCAAGUGCAAGUGUAUAGAACGGCUUACCUGUGCAAAGCUAUCAGCCCUGGACCUAUGGGCCUAGAAACAUUACUUGCCACUCACUCACUCACUAUCAUUCAUUCAUUUCUGCAACAAACACUUCCUGAGCAUAUGCUAUACACCAGGCCCUGAGCUCAGCUCUGGGGAUACAGGAUGAAUGGCAGAUUGUGCCAUCAGGAAGCCGACUGCACAGUCAGCCCGCUGGAGCACAUAUGAAAAACAAUACGGAUGUUUUGAUUUAUUAUCAUAUUGAUCAUUAUGAUGGUAGCGUAUACUUUUGGAAGGCUUGCCAUACAUUAGGCAUUGUGCUAAGCACAUUAUAUGGUUAAUCUCAUCAAUCUUCACAACCUAUGUGGCAGGUACUAUUAUUAAACCCACUUCAAAGAGGAGGGAACUGAACCUCAGAGAGGGUAAGUGACUUGCACAAGGACACAAGCUAGUGAGGAGAGGAACUGAGAGGAAUGGCCAGACAGGCCAUCAGCCUCUGUCCCCACAUGCUGGGUCUGAGUGUCUGACGGUGGACACAUUCCCUUCCUGGAGGGAGAGCUCCUAGGGAGCUGAUGGCAGCACUGAGUCUGGAAUGUGAUGGGAGUGCAUUAGAUGACGUGGGUGAUCUGAUGAGUACAGAGGCGUCACACUGCAAUGACUUCAUGCACAUAUCUCCCCUUGAAUGCACAGAGAUUCAGCAGAGGCCAGGAGCUCAAGUUUCUGGCCCAGUGUCCCCCUCUUCCCCUGGGGAAAGCCAGGGACACACUGCCUGGCUUUGCUACACCUUUCUAGGCAAAGGCAGUAUGCUCUCCCUCUCCUUGGCCUCCCUGGCUGUCCACACAUCCACACCCACUCACACACACAUGCACAUGAUCAUACACAUUACACAAGCCCACAUGCCCACAGACAUGCUCACACUCACACUCACAUGCAUACACUGCCAUACACAACACACAUACAUACAUUCACACACACUUGUGCUUCACACACACACACCAAUUCUAUCAUUUAAUACAUUUUGGAAAGGCUACAUACUACUACAGCCUCUUUUACAGAUUAGCAAUGUCCAUGAGCGCACUAAAGGUUGAGACAUUCUGCAGUGAAGAAGCCUAUUUCAUUUUGUUUAACCAAGUAUUUCUCAAAUUUAUUUGAUCAUAUGUGGCAGAAAAUGCUGUGUCUGGCAUUCUUCAUUUCCCUCUUCCUCCUUUAACAUGGAACCCCUGAUGUCUUUAGCUUGGCACAUCGCCACCCAGAAUAAAAACUACCUUUCCCAGCUCUUCCUGCAGCUAGGGGCAGCCCUGGGAUAAAUUCUGGACAAUGAAAUACAGGCAGAAGUAAAUCAUAUACGAUUUCCAUGAAGGGACCUUAAACAGAAGUGUGCCCUUCUCUUCCCCACACAUUCCUCCUCCUGUCUGAAAUGUAGAUGCAACUGCUGGCAUUUGAGCAGC
rnacentral:lncRNA from 1 species